CGUAGGUGAACCUGCGGAAGGAUCAUUGACGAAACCCCGACCCUUUGGCACCCCCGUCGAGAACGAGUAAAGGAAUCCCAGCUGGCGGGAUGGUGUGCUUGUCCCAGGCACGCCUUCUCUCCGGUUGUCGUGCUGGCCCAUCUUCCGCGGCACCGUCCGGUAGAGCGGAAAGGUGUGCGCCUGGCGCGGCGACUUAACAACAAUCAGGCGCGGGAUGCGCCAAGGACAAUGGAUGCUUUGACAUGCCUUUGCCCCUUCUGUCUGGUUCUUGGACCAGGGGAUAGGGGACGGCAAUGCGCUGUACGCGCGAGAUUGACACGACUCUCGGCAACGGAUAUCUCGGCUCUCGCAUCGAUGAAGGACGUAGCGAAAUGCGAUACUUGGUGUGAAUUGCAGAAUCCCGUGAACCAUCGAGUCUUUGAACGCAAGUUGCACCCGAGGCCACCAAGGCUAAGGGCACGUCUGCCUGGGUGUCACCUAGACCCUCACCAAACCCGGGUUCACUUCAGCGGAAGUGGCGGGGGGUGGUGGACGAUGGCCUCCCGUGCUCCUCGUGCGGUUGGCCGGAAUCUGGAGCUGGAGCCGUUGAGCGCAGCGGCGUAUGGUGGUUGGGCGAGGAGAAAGUCCUCGAUUCGUCCCCCCCCCGUUGAGACUCGCCGCUGCGACAGCGCGUGCCCGAUUCCCGCGCUAUCCCUAUCGAGCCGUGACACCGUGCGCGGACU
rnacentral:sRNA from 1 species